UACGGGGGGGGUAAGCGUUGUUCGGAAUUACUGGGCGUAAAGGGCGCGUAGGCGGCUACUUAAGUCGGAUGUGAAAGCCCUUGGCUCAACUGAGGAAGUGCACCCGAAACUGAGUGGCUUGAGUACUAAAGAGGGUCGCGGAAUUCCCGGUGUAGAGGUGAAAUUCGUAGAUAUCGGGAGGAACACCGGUGGCGUAGACGGCUUUCUGGACCGUAACUGACGCUGAGACACGAAAGCGUGGGUAGCAAACAGG
rnacentral:rRNA from 1 species